UCCGUGAUAGAGCUGGCUCACGCCGGUAUUUCUUCCUCUUUGCCCCUCGUGUCGGUGGCAGGCGGACGGCUGUCAUGUGCGGAAGCAAGUCCGGCGGGCCUGUAGGGCAGGACGCGGUGCUAGAGCCUGGGCCGCUGCAAGCUGACUUGUAUUUCUGUGGCGCUCUGCCUGUGUGACCGGGGCGGCGUCCUUCUCAGUAAUUACAGCAGAGAGCAAGGAAAUGAAAUAGACAUUCAUGAAGAAAACUUUGACUAACAACAGAUGUGCUAAAGGCAGCAAACUGCAAAGUGAAUGAAGUAAACAAAAGCAAGGCUGCAUGUACAUUUGGAAGUGCAAAGAGUUAUCAAGUAUAUGAAAAGCAACCCUUGGGAUUUCCCCAACAAAGAAUUGACAACUGAAGAGAAACUGACAAGAGCAAGAAACUAAAUGGGAUUGGAAAUUGUUUACAUUUCGGUUUUGUAUUUGGUCUGGAGUAAAAUUUAAAAAAAACUGGUGGGGGGAACUCGGUGCAUCAGGCAAGGCAGCAUUAGAUAUUUGAAUUAUUGGGUUGAGGUGCAGGAACUCAAUAAGAUGUUAACUGUCCCAAAUGAUGCUGCCUGACCUGAGUUCCUUUGGCAUUUAACUAUAUCAAAAGUAUGAAUGGUGUUUUGUUUAAUGCUGAGUUUGCUAUCUUUGGGCCAUGUUUUCAUAAGUGUUCUAUUUGGUGUAUAUAAAAAACAAGAACAAGUGAAAGGGAAGGCUUGAGUUUGCUAUUAAAUGUUGAAAAUUUAUUUAAUUUUCUAGGGAAAUUCGUCAAACCAGAUGCUGGAGCAGCAUAAGUGAGAGAAUAUCUGUGUAUUCAAUGUUUUUUAAUAGUGCAUCAAAGCUAUUUAAAUGAGUAGAUUUUGGUUAAUUUGGGCACAUCAGGACCAGUACGUCUUGACUUGAUUAUGCGGCUGCCCCAGUUAGCCAGAGGUUCAUGGAAAGUUUCAAAAUAUAUAGAAAGACAAGUUGAGUAACAAUUCAUAUUUUUAAAAAAGCUUAACAAAUUGGAGCACUGCCAGUACUACCACAGUACUGUAAAACUAAUUUCUAAUGGUUAUUGAUGGGACUGCCUUCAAACGAUGCUAUUGACAUAACUUGAUGUAGUUUUCACUCCUGGCCAUUCCUAGUAUCUCUAGGUUUGAAUGCUUGAAACAUCUGUGAGCAAAACAACACUGAAUUGUCUUGCUGCUCAUUUCUCACCAACUAUUGCUGACCAAAUUCGAUGCUUUGAACAUAAGCAUACAGCUGACACUGUUUUAAGAACUGUUCAGCAAUUCAAAGUUUCCCAAUGCUGAAGUGUCAAGUGCAUAUGGGCAGACACAGCCUUUUGUAAGUGUCACGUACACACAACCCUGUAAAAGUAUCAGCAACAAUUGAACUCACCUGGAGUCUGAUUCUGCAGUUAACAAACACUAUUUUAUUAGUAACUACUGAUAAUAGUAAACUUAAGACCAGAUAAUCCAAGGGUUAGCAGUGUUGUGCAUAUAUAGGUGUAAAUAUAUACUUAAGGAUUGGGUGGUAAAUCCCAACCUCCAGGCCAGGAAGCAUGUAGGUGCAGCGGUAGGCAGAAUACACCCAGCACAUCUUUAAGGAAAAAGCUGAAAUAAACAACUUGGGGAAAAAAACACAUUUAAAUCAGGGAGUUCGCAUUUGCAGAAAAUUUUCUGUAAUGCAAAAUUUGUUGGAGUUGUAUUUAGAAAUUCUACAUGUUUCAUGUGAAAAUACUUUUGAGAUUUGAACGUUGUAAGGGUGUUACCAUUACUUAUGUAAUGCAGUUGGUAUAAAUAACCUGGUUUUCAGAAGAUGGUUCUUAUUAAGGGAAUUGUGACUUUGUAUACUUUCUUUUGUAUACUAUAUGUAAUGUUUUGAUCAAUUUACAUUAAAAAUGAAAAACUCA